rnacentral:tRNA from 1 species
GUGGAUUGUGGCUCAGCGGUAGAGUACUCGCCUCGCACAUGUAAGACCCUGGGUUCGAUCCUCAGCAUCACA